UUACAGACGCAGCCAAUGACUUGUUAGGUUUCUUGGGUGGUUAGGGUGGAGCAGGUGGAUCCAAAGAAGAACAAUCGGCAACAGAAAGCUGAAUCUAAGAAGGAUUAAUCAACAAGCCUGAAGACUUAUUAUUGAUAAUUUAAAUAUAUAUAUAUAUAUACUAGUGUUUCACAAUAAAAAAUAAUUAUAAA